GAUGAACGCUGGCGGCGUGCCUAAGAUAUGCAAGUCGAGCGGUAACACUUCGGGUGACGAGCGGCGGACGGCUUAGUAACGCGUAGGAACGUACCCCAAAGUGAGGGAUAAGCACCGGAAACGGUGUCUAAUACCGCAUGUGCUCUUCGGAGCAAAGCCUUCGGGCGCUAUGGGAGCGGCCUGCGUAUGAUUAGCUUGUUGGUGAGGUAAUGGCUCACCAAGGCAACGAUCAUUAGCUGGUCUGAGAGGAUGAUCAGCAAGACUGGGACUGAGACACGGCCCAGACCCC
rnacentral:rRNA from 1 species